rnacentral:rRNA from 1 species
GGCGGCGUGCCUAACACAUGCAAGUCGAACGGGACUAUCAAGUGAUGUUUCGGACUGAACUUUUAGUUAGUGGCGGACGGGUGAGUAACGCGUGGACAACCUGCCUCUCACUGGGGGAUAGCAGCUGGAAACGGCUGGUAAUACCGCAUACGUUCAAUGUGCCGCAUGACACAUUGAAGAAAGAUUUAUCGGUGAGAGAUGGGUCCGCGUCUGAUUAGCCAGUUGGCGGGGUAACGGCCCACCAAAGCGACGAUCAGUAGCCGGCCUGAGAGGGCGGACGGCCACAUUGGGACUGAGACACGGCCCAGACUCCUACGGGAGGCAGCAGUGGGGGAUAUUGCACAAUGGGCGCAAGCCUGAUGCAGCGACGCCGCGUGAGUGAAGAAGUAUUUCGGUAUGUAAAGCUCUAUCAGCAGGGAAGAAAGGCCCGCAAGGGAGAUGACGGUACCUGACUAAGAAGCCCCGGCUAACUACGUGCCAGCCGCAGC